rnacentral:misc_RNA from 1 species
UGUUAAUUUUGAUGAAGGUCCAAUCUACUCAACUGCAACUUAUCCAACCUACCUGAAAGGUCAGUUUUCAGGUUAUUUCCAAAGAUGAUGAGGUUCUUUCUUUCGAAGUAUGCAGUCUAUUAUUGCUCGGACUCGUACUCUGCAUAUGUGUUUCCUUCUUCUUUUCAUGAUUUCAGUGUGGGUUUUUCUACCUUUUUGUGAUAUACUGGUGUUGAUGUAAAUGGUUUUUUAUUAGGG